rnacentral:misc_RNA from 1 species
GAUGAAGAACGUAGCGAAAUGCGAUACGUAAUGUGAAUUGCAGAAUUCAGUGAAUCAUCGAGUCUUUGAACGCACAUUGCGCCCCCUGGUAUUCCGGGGGGCAUGCCUGUCCGAGCGUCAUUGCUGCCCUCAAGCACGGCUUGUGUGUUGGGCCUCCGUCCUCCUCCCGGGGGACGGGCCCGAAAGGCAGCGGCGGCACCGCGUCCGGUCCUCGAGCGUAUGGGGCUUCGUCACCCGCUCUUGUAGGCCCGGCCGGCGCUUGCCGACACAUCAAUCUUUUUUCCAGGUUGACCUCGGAUCAGGUAGGUAUACCCGCUGAACUUAAGCAUAUCAAUAAGCGGAGGA